CAGCAGCCGCGGUAAUACGUAGGGUGCGAGCGUUAAUCGGAAUUACUGGGCGUAAAGCGUGCGCAGGCGGUUAUAUAAGACAGAUGUGAAAUCCCCGGGCUCAACCUGGGACCUGCAUUUGUGACUGUAUAGCUAGAGUACGGUAGAGGGGGAUGGAAUUCCGCGUGUAGCAGUGGAAUGCGUAGAUAUGCGGAGGAACACCGAUGGCGAAGGCAAUCCCCUGGACCUGUACUGACGCUCAUGCACGAAAGCGUGGGGAGCAAACAGGAUUAGAUACCCCAGUAGCCCUGUCUCUUAUACA
rnacentral:rRNA from 1 species